rnacentral:rRNA from 1 species
CAGCCGCCGCGGUAAUACAGAGGGUGCGAGCGUUAAUCGGAUUUACUGGGCGUAAAGCGUGCGUAGGCGGCUAAUUGAGUCGGAUGUGAAAUCCCCGAUCUUAACUUGGGAAUUGCAUUCGAUACUGGUUAGCUAGAGUGUGGGAGAGGAUGGUAGAAUUCCAGGUGUAGCGGUGAAAUGCGUAGAGAUCUGGAGGAAUACCGAUGGCGAAGGCAGCCAUCUGGCCUAACACUGACGCUGAGGUACGAAAGCAUGGGGAUCAAACAGGAUUAGAUACCCCUGUAGUCCCUGUCUCUUAUAC